rnacentral:rRNA from 1 species
GAUGAACGCUGGCGGCGUGCCUAAUACAUGCAAGUCGAGCGAACAGAUGAGGAGCUUGCUCCUCUGACGUUAGCGGCGGACGGGUGAGUAACACGUGGAUAACCUACCUAUAAGACUGGGAUAACUUCGGGAAACCGGAGCUAAUACCGGAGAAUAUAUUGAACCGCAUGGUUCAAUAGUGAAAGACGGUUUUGCUGUCACUUAUAGAUGGAUCCGCGCCGCAUUAGCUAGUUGGUAAGGUAACGGCUUACCAAGGCAACGAUGCGUAGCCGACCUGAGAGGGUGAUCGGCCACACUGGAACUGAGACACGGUCCAGACUCCUACGGGAGGCAGCGGUAGGGAAUCUUCCGCAAUGGGCGAAAGCCUGACGGAGCAACGCCGCGUGAGUGAUGAAGGUCUUCGGAUCGUAAAACUCUGUUAUUAGGGAAGAACAAAUGUGUAAGUAACUAUGCACGUCUUGACGGUACCUAAUCAGAAAGCCACGGCUAACUACGUG